GAGAGACGCUCAGAAGGUGGAGGAGCGAAGCCACACGGGAAACCAGCAACCCGUUGACAAAAGAGGAAGUCGGGCUACGUCGAGGCAGUUUUCCCAGGUAAAGCGAGUUCACCAUGUGGGCGAUGAUGGCAAAGUCCCAGAACGAGGUUAAUGCUAAUCGUGAUAGGGGUUGAUUUCAUCGGACACCUGCCAUGUUAGCAUUAGCUUCACUUUGGGAGAAUUCAACGCAAGCUGAAUGGAACUGAUUGCCACCACUGAGGAAUAUGGAGCAGAAAUAAAAAGGUUCAAAAGGUGCACGGAGCAAUUCUUCACCGACGUUUCCACGCUGCCAUCACUGUGAGACUCGUUUUAGCAUGUAACAAUUGAGGCUGUAUGAAUAAUUGAUUGGCAAAGGAUUACAUUUAAUGAGCCACGUUGGAAUAGAUUAUAAUUCGGCCUCCGUUUCCUUUCCUGGACAUUGCUUCAAUUGUUGAUGUCAUUGCAGUGUGUUCAGCAUUUGAUGAGCUACAAAACACUUUAAUGUUUGGAUCCAAUCAAAAAUGUCGGUUUUCGAUGUAUUCAGUGUUGUGGUAGGACGGUUCACUUUGGGACCAGCGCAUAAAUAAAAUAUCUGAAGAUUUUUUUACCAACUAAA